AUAACUGCAAUCAAUGCGCUCAGGGAAGUAGAGGAGAUAUAUAAGUGUACUUAAAUGACAGCCUCUCACAAGUGCAGAUUUAGCUCAUUUAGCUGGAGAAAUCCGUGAGACAGUCUAGGAAUCAGGUGAUUAACAGGCAAGGGGCAGGAAAUCUGCCACUGAGAUAGACAGUGACAUUUAUGCAGCCUGUUUUAGGGCGGUUUUAGGCUGUGAGCAUUUAAAUAAAACCCACUCUCCUUUCUCCUCCUUUCCAAAGCCCUCCCCAGCGAUUGAAAUUAACCGGGAGGGAGGAGAGAGAAACAACGAGAGAGGCAGAGAAGAGGGCAGCCACCUUGACACAGACAGACCCACCCCGAGAGAGGAUCAGUGUCUUGUAAUGUGAAGGGACAACCGAAGAUGUGGAAAGUAAAAGGGAUCCUGAACAUGGGAGGAGAGGAGCGCCCACACCCAGACCACCACGGCAGGGGGUGUUGGUGGGUUUGAAGCUUGUUCAGUGCUGAUCACUGCCAAAGCCCUGACAGACAGCUGGAAAGGAGUCAACACCACCCCAUCACCACCACCACCACCACUUCCUCCAGAUCAACUGAGAGCAAAGCAGCAGUACCACAGGGCACAGACUCGAGAUGAGUGUCAGGAUUUUACUUUAUGUGCCUAAUAUCAUUGGUUAUAUCAGGAUACUCCUACUACUGGUCGGUUGGUGGUAUUUCCAUUAUCCUCCCAUUUUCGUCUUCUGCUACGUGCUUUCCAUUACACUCGACGGUGAGUACAGCUCUCAUCCUCAGAGGAAUGCAAUACAGUCAAUGGAAAGUAACCUGAACGAGUCAGGUCUUUUUAUAGAAUGAUAGAAAU